GACGAACCGUCCUAACGUUGUUCGGAAUCACUGGGCUUAAAGGGCGCGUAGGCGGGCCGCCAAGUCUGAGGUGAAAUCUUUCGGCUUAACCGGAAAAUAGCCUUGGAUACUGGCGGUCUUGAGGGAGGUAGGGGCAUGUGGAACUUCCGGUGGAGCGGUGAAAUGCGUUGAUAUCGGAAAGGAACGCCGGUGGCGAAAGCGACGUGCUGGACCUCUACUGAGCUGAGGCGCGAAAAGCCCAGGGGGAGCAAAACGGGG
rnacentral:rRNA from 1 species